CUGUACCUGUUACCUGUCUCUAUAGUAUCUUCGGUAAGAAAACGCAAAAACAUCCUGUUAUCUAUCCUUCCUUUUCUUUUUCAAAACAGAAAGAAAACCAGAGAGUGCAGGGGCGGUUCUUUAGACCGACCGCUAACAUUAUAGGUAUGUCAUGCAUUUGACUUCAUUUAGGUUGGUUACACAAACGCUGGAAAGAGUACACUACUUCUGAAUCAAUUAACAGGAGCAGAUUGUUUGCUGAAGAUCGGCUAUUUGAGACACUGGGUCCAGCUAUAAAAAGGGUUUAGGUCAGUCCAACAAGUUAGGAAAAGAAAAGUCUUCGUUACAACUUGCUUAGGGCUUGCAUAAUUAUGUUCUUGCAGAACCAAACAAUUAUUGAUUUCCAAUUUGUACUGUAGACUUUUUGCGUUUAUGAAACCAAAACGUUUGUGGCAACCUGGCUUACAGAAGCUGGCAGCAUUUACUCACACGAGAUGCUCGUGUUGUUUGGUUUCUUCCAGAUGAAGAACGGGAAUGUUUUUUCCCUGUGGAAUCUUUUCCAAUGGUUUUUCACUUGAAACAACUAGAUAACUUUUGGUUCUUGCAAUGUUAACUCUGUAUUGAUAACAUCAUGGCCACUGCUGCUUAUGGCAUCUUGACAGGGUCAGUGAUGUGAAAAAACUAAAAAUGGAAGCAGAGAGAAAACAAGAUGUUGUUUGCGUGUCUGCUAUGAAUGGCGAUGGGUUACAAGAAUUCUGCAAUUCAGUUCGGGAAAAACUGAAGGAUUCUAUGGUAUGGGUAGAAGCUUUGUUUCCAUUUGACAAAGGGAAGCCUCUCAAGAUCAUACAUCAGGUUCGAAUGGUAGAGAGAACUGUGAGUAUGUUCUAGAUUGUUUUCAUUUUCUUCUACGGAGAACUGAUCCUCUUAUUUUUUAUUUUUGUCGUAAAUUUUUCUUUCUACUCAUUUGAUUAGGAAAGUGGGACAUUGAUCAAGGCUCACGUCCCCCUUCGUUUUGCAAGGUUGCUAACUCCUAUGAGACAGUUGUGUAAAUCAUAACUCUUUAGCGUAUUUGAUGCUCUUGUAGAACUGCAAGUACUAUCCAUGCCAUUCAUUAAUUGUCAUGUACGUAUGAAUCAUCUGACAGUCAUUUCUUUCCUGUUUCUAUGGGGGAGAGACCACCAAUUUUUUUAAAUGGCCUUUCUUUUACACUUCAUCCUCUCAAUGAAGGCUUCUAGCACAGGAUACUAUCACGAAAGUUUCAGUAUCUUCCCAAGUGUAACAAAUUUGGAAAAGGACUGUGGUUUUCUGUUUCGGCAUGAAUGUUUAACCACUGUCAUUGCUGAAGUAACAGCUCAUGUAAUUUGAGCUGACCUUUCGUCAAGCAGCGGUGGCGUAUAGGAAGAGUUCUACUUGUUGACAUCUGAAAUUGUCAAGGUUUUUAUGAUUUGUAGUCGGCAAGUGCUGAUGUCUGUUGUACCAUACAAACUAUCAAGGGUAACAAAUCGUGAUGAUCGAAGAGAGCAGUGUGCUUCUUUGUGUUAUGAAUUCGACAUUGCAAGACAAGCAUGUGCAAUAUUUAGCUAACGGAGAGGACCCAGUAAAUUUUGCACGUAAGCCAUGUUGGGCUGCUGCCUUAAUGAGUAGUAUUGCAACUCCAAAAUGGAAAUCUGCGUCUCCAUAUCGCUGUAUAAGCUCUCAACUCAUGGGCUAAGCAUACAAGUAGAACGUGCUGGAUGACUUGGACAUGCCGUGAGAAAAGAUUAAAAUGUUAUUAUCAAGGGGUGCUGCGUCUGAAAGGGUCAAAACGUUGUAGAUUGUAGUUCUAUAAAGCACAAGCUAAUCCACUAAUAGUAAUUUUUUAAUUAGUCAUCUUACUAAUAUUUGAUGAGCUUUGAGGAUUUGAGAUCCCUGUGGUUGUCAUUUUUCUGGAAUGGACUAAUGGUAUUUCUGUAACCCAAUUACCCAAGGGCCAGCCGCCAGGGACAUAGCCAUGCCCAUGAGCGCUUGAGCAUAAUAGCCGAAAGGAAAUUCCUCUUAUAUCAUUGGCUUUCUGUAAA